rnacentral:lncRNA from 1 species
UUGUUUUUACUGGUAAUAUGACUGAGCCAAAACUUGUUCUAUGAAAAAUAUUAAAUUCUCAUCAAAUAAAGAUCCAUGUGAUGAGCCAACUGGCACAGUCAGAUCAUAUUUGCUCAUUAAAAGAAACACAAAACUAAGACUGUCAACUUGAAAAGGAGGAUUUUGAGGGGAGAUAUAUCCUUGUCACUCAAGCGUUAUAAGGACAUGAAGUGAUAAACCUAAAAAUAAGUUACUGAUCUGAAGUUUCACAAAAUGCAGUGUACCUAAGGAGAUCAUUGAAUAGCCUCCAUUUUAUUCCAUUUAAAGGGACAAGUGGCACCCAGAUCACCACCAACUAGAAUUAGGAGACUCUAAAUUAAUCCAGAAAGAAAGGAGAACCCACUUGGUGAUUAUAACCUUGAUACCUUUACCAGAUGUCCAGUGUUCCCAUAAAGCUCACUGGUAAUUCUCCAGUGUAGAUAAUGACAACGUAAACUACUAGAGAUACCUGAAGGCUCUUUGGUGCAUUGGGUUGUUCAGCCGUUUUGGACAACACUUGGUAUAUCUGCCACAUUGUACUAAUAAAAGGAAAAAUGUAAAGGAGCUUUGUUGGAUGAGUCCUGCUACAGUGAGUCUCCCGGUGCUGCAAACAGUGGACGAUAAGGCAUCCUCAUUCAGAAUGAGAAGGAAGCUCUUUCCCGACACUGAUGCAGCCUGCACCUAACCUU